GACGAACGCUGGCGGCGUGCUUAACACAUGCAAGUCGAACGAGUGGCGAACGGGUGAGUAAGAAGUGGGUGAUAUGCCUUCCACUCUGGGAUAAGCUCGGGUAACUGGGGUUAAUCACAGAUAGUGCAAGAUGAGCUCGCGGACUAUCAGCUUGUUGGUGGGGUAAAGGCUACAAAGGCGCGACGGGUAGCCGGCCUGAGAGGGUGUACGGCCACAUUGGGACUGAGAUACGGCCCAGACUCCGACGGGAGGCAGCAGUGGGGAAUUUUGGACAAUGGGGGAAACCCUGAUCCAGCCAUCCCGCGUGUGCGAGGAAGGCCUUCGGGUUGUAAAGCACGUUUGGCAGGGAAACGGUACCUGCAGAAUAAGCACCGGCUAACUACGUGCCAGCAGCCGCGGUAAUAC
rnacentral:rRNA from 1 species